rnacentral:lncRNA from 1 species
UGGGUGCUGGUAUUAUAAGUCUGGUCCUCAUGAUUGAACAGUAAGUGCUUUUUAACUACUGAGUAAUCUCUCUAUCCCCUAUUUUCUUUUAAAUGUAUUAAUUUGUUUUAAAUUGUUUGAAGAGUUUAGACACGAUACUUACAGAUAUUGCUCCUUUGUUUUUAUACAAAGUGUUGCUAUAUAACAAGAUUCAUCCCGAACUUGUCAUCCUCCUGCUUCAGCAAGUAGUGGCAUUACAGGCUUAUGUCCCUACACUGGUUUCAGAGAUAAUCAGCCCCUCCCCCAAUCCCUAUCAUCUUCUUCCCUUACCUCUCUACUCUCUUUCACACACACUAUUUUAUUUGAGGCUGGGUUUUAUGUAUCCCUUAUGUAUUGUAUGUACUGAGUCAGGCUUCAAAUUCACUAUGUAGUCAAGAAAAUGUUGUCGUCUUUACCUCAUGAGUGCUGGGGUGACCACAGGCAUGUGUCAUCACAACUCAGCCAGAAAUGCCUCUUCACUAGUAACCCGCUGAUGUGUUUUCAUACCUGUUGAGUUAGGAAGGUGAGUGAUGGGGACUCAGUUUGCAUUAAUAGAAUCGUGUACACAGAAGGGCAUCAGGAAGUGUGCUCAGGACUUCAUCUAGUACUCUUGCAUUAUUAGCCCCAUGCUGUCAGUGUCUGAGAACUCACUUUUACAGAGGAGAAAGUAGGUGGCAGAAUAGUGUUUGAGGCAAGACGGUCUGGUGCUGUAGUCGUCCUGCUCAGUGUGCAGAUGCUUAGCGUCUCUUGUAUCACCCUUGAAGGUUAACAAGAGCCUGUCAGAUUCCCAUUGGUCGAGCUAGAUAGUGGGCUGUGAUGUGAGUAACCUGAACCUCCGCUCUCGGGAGUUAGAAGGUGGGAAGACUGCAGGUUUGAGGUUGGUCUGACUAUUACAUGGCGAGACCCUUACACAAAAACCUCCCACACAGGGGAGGCAAUCCAGGUGUGAGAUCGGUUUUGAUAGUGUCCUUUGUGUUUAGGAAACUACAGUCGUCGGGAAGGAACAAGAGGCUCCAGUUGGAGUGCUCAGAAUACUCCGAGAGGAAAUUAUAACGAAAGCCGAGGGGGCCAGAGCAACUUCAACAGGGGCCCUCUUCCGCCAUUACGGCCACUUAGCUCCACAGGUUACCGCCCUAGUCCCCGGGAUCGAGCUUCUCGGGGCCGUGGGGGGCUCGGACCGUCCUGGGCCAGUACAAAUAGCGGCAGUGGAGGCUCACGAGGAAAGUUUGUUAGUGGAGGCAGUGGUAGAGGCCGUCAUGUA